rnacentral:lncRNA from 1 species
UGCUGGCUCAACGGAGCCGAUCGUCAAUUUGGAAGCCUAUCAUCAAAAACAACUCGAUAGUAAAAUGCCACCGUUUACUAUCGAGAGUAUUCUAGCUCAACUCAUAUAAGUUGAGCUAGAAUACUCUCGAUAGUAAACGGAGCAUUUUACUAUCGAGUUUUUUCGGAUGAUAGAGCUUCCAAAUUGACGAUCGACUCCGUUAAAUAUGAUCUAAACCAUUUAAACUACCUAGAAAUCAAAUUUCACGCACUUUCGAUAUUGUUCUUUUAUCCAUCUAGUGAACAGAAAAUGAAUGGUUGAAAAUGAAUUUUCUUUAAAAAAUGAUGAUAGGAGUCUUGUAAUCAAGAUCAAGAGUAUAGAUCUUGUUUUAAAUAGUUUAAAGAAUUUUCUAACAAAAAUUCAAUUGAUUUGGAUAUCUUUACACCAUUAAACGAGAAAACGUCUCUUAUCCACCAUUAAAAUUACAAAUUUUGAAACCCUUUGAUCAUUAGGCAAAUGAUGUCGAAAAGAUUUGAAAUUUGAUUUCUAAACACUUUAAGUGGUAUAGAUCAUGUUCAAUGGAGCCGAUCGUCAAUUUGGAAGCGCUAUCAUCAAAAACAACUCGAUAGUAAAAUGCCACGUUUACUAUCGAGAGUAUUCUAGCUCAACUCUCUCUCUCUCUAUAUAUAUAUAUAUAUAUGCUAAGGUUCAAAUUACACACUUCUAAGUUUUAUACUUCUUAUAUAAAUUAAAGGCUAAAUUACAUAAAAUCUUCCUGUCAAAUUCGAUUUUUCACUUUCCCCCCUGUCAUUUAAAACUUACAGUUUGUUCUCUUGUAAAAUGAAAAAUGUUCACAGGAGGUACAGUAAGAAAUGUGAUGACAAAAUAAUCAAUUUGCCCCUCACCAUUUUCAUCUCCCCCCUCAUCUUGCUCAUCCGCCACCUCGAUCGGCCACGGUUCGUGCCUCAAUUGGCCAGGAUUCCUCUCCAUUUUCUUCUCCACCUUCUCCCUUUCUCCUCCUGCACCCUCGGCGCCUCUCCAUUUUGAUAACAGUAGUGAGGAAAUCGAAAUGAGCGUGGAUGAAAAGGUGGGCAAAGGUAACAAGGGUGAAGGCAAGACGGCGGAGGAGGGCGAGAGGGUGUUUGUGGGCGCGGACGGAGAUGUGGGAGAGGGCAAGGCAGUGAAGGAGGGUGAGGCGGCGAGGCGGAUGAGGGCGAAACACAGUAGAGGGCGGAGGGUAUUUUUGGCAUAAAAAAUAUUUUAUAACGGAACCCUAAUGGUCACUAACGGUAGGGGGUGAAGUGAACGUUUUUUAUUUUACAAGGGGCAAAGUAUAGGAUUUUAAAUAACAGGGAGGGAAAGUAAAAAAUCGGGUUUUGACGGAUGGGUUUCUGUAAUUUAGCCUAAAUUAAAAUCUACUGUUUUAGAAUAAAGAUCUAAAUGUUGAAAUUAUUGUACAAUGUAAAAAGGUCGUACAAGCCAAAUUUUAUAAUUUCUAAAAUAUUAUAUCUCGGGUUUUCACUAUGGCCAAUUUGCAUAAACAAUUCAUUAGUUUUUAGCUUUUGCAAAAGUAUGCCGUCUUUUAAAAUUUUGUAGAUUCGAGCCGGAUUUUUAGAACACUGACCAAAAUAACUUUAUUUUCUUUUCUCUCUCCUCUUUUUUUCUCUCUUUUUUUAUUUUCUUUCACUCCGAAGAAGGGGGCAGAGGCGCAGGCGGAGGUGGAGGUGGAGGCGGAGGCAGAGGUGGAGAUGGCCCGCCUCUGUUCUGUCCCUCGUGUCAUCACCCUCACCCUCACCCAUGCCCGCGUACCCUCCCUCCGCCUUCUUCGCCUCCGACCCUGCUGAGGCCGCACCUCGACCCUCUAUUUCUUUCUCUCCGACCCUCUUCCACCGCCUCUCCGGCUCUUUACAACAGUAAAGAGGGCAGCGUCACGUCCUUUUCCUCUCUUUUUUUUUCUUUCAUUUUUUUCCCCCUCUACCGCCUCCGUGACCCUCCACGACGAUAACGAGGACAGCGCUGCAUCCUCUUUCUCCGC